GAAAGGUUUAAGAGCCUACUCUGGCUCUGAACCGCGAAUAAACUCUCAGUCCUCUCGCCAGGCCCCGUGCGGGUUCCGCGGGAAGUCCCCUCGCUGCUGCCGGACAGGGCCCUAGUGAAUGCAUCGUUCCUGAGCUCAAGAACGUUGAGGUGGGCCAACGGUGGCCGGAGGAGAGAAGACUGGCUGCUCUGGUGGCUGAGCUGGUGGAGUGGCUGCGUUGGAAGAGUCUGCA